AGCUCCAAUAGCGUAUAUUAAAGUUGUUGCCGUUAAAAAGCUCGUAGUUGAACCUUGGGUCUGGCUGAUCUGUCCUCCUAAUCGAGCGCACGGAUUCGGUCGGACCUUUCCUUCUGGGGAGCCGCAUGCCCUUCACUGGGCGUGUCGGGGAACCAGGACUUUUACCUUGAAAAAAUUAGAGUGUUCAAAGCAGGCCUUUGCUCGAAUACAUUAGCAUGGAAUAAUAGAAUAGGACAGAGGUUCUAUUUUGUUGGUUUCUAGGACCGCUGUAAUGAUUAAUAGGGAUAGUCGGGGGCGUCCGUAUUCAAUUGUCAGAGGUGAAAUUCUUGGAUUUAUUGAAGACGAACUACUGCGAAAGCAUUCGCCAAGGAUGUUUUCA
rnacentral:rRNA from 1 species